UACGUAGGGUGCGAGCGUUAAUCGGAAUUACUGGGCGUAAAGCGUGCGCAGGCGGUUUUGUAAGCCAGAUGUGAAAGCCCCGGGCUUAACCUGGGAAUGGCAUUUGGGACUGCAAGGCUGGAGUGUGGCAGAGGAGACUGGAAUUCCUGGUGUAGCAGUGAAAUGCGUAGAUAUCAGGAGGAAUACCGAUGGCGAAGGCAGGUCUCUGGGCCGACACUGACGCUCAUGCACGAAAGCGUGGGGAGCAAACAGG
rnacentral:rRNA from 1 species